rnacentral:tRNA from 1 species
GAGCGAAUAUCCAAAUUGGUUAAGGGAAUAGUCUGCAAAACUAUAUUGUGAGAGUUCGAAUCUCUCUUCGCUCU